rnacentral:rRNA from 1 species
AUUGAACGCUGGCGGCAGGCCUAACACAUGCAAGUCGAACGAGUGGCGGACGGGUGAGUAAUGUCUGGGAAACUGCCUGAUGGAGGGGGAUAACUACUGGAAACGGUAGCUAAUACCGCAUACCAUCAGAUGUGCCCAGAUGGGAUUAGCUAGUUGGUGGGGUAACGGCGCACCAAGGCGACGCUCCCUCGCUGGUCUGAGAGGAUGACCAGCAACAGUAGAACUGAUACACGGUCCAGACUCCUACGGGAGGCAGCAGUGGGGAAUAUUGCACAAUGGGCGCAGGCCUGAGGCAGCCAUGCCGCGUGGAUGAAGAAGGCCGUCGGGUUGUAAAGUACUUUCAGCGGGGAGGCGUUACCCGCAGAAGAAGCACCGACUAACUCCGUGCCAGCAGCCGCGGUAAUUG